UUUAUGUUUGAGCUCAGGAUGCUCGGAUGGCUUGACUACAUUGAAACUAUAUUAUAGCAAAAAGUCAAUGGCUGAGAAAUCGUUUCAGUCGUCAUCUUUUUUACUAGCGAUUUGAUUGUUGUUUAUCCACAU